rnacentral:lncRNA from 1 species
AACAGAAGGGCAACUCAGCGGUGCAACGUGUCCUCGAUUUUUUAUGCAAAAAUAUGCAGUUUACUGGCCAGAAGGCGGAGCAGCCAGCCAGUACAGCGUGUUUAUUGGCCAUAAAAUGUCAUUGACUGGCUAGGAAAAUGGUGGCCAACAUGCGUAAUGCGACAUGCGCGAGGACAGAAACUUCAAAGCUUCCGACGUAAGUUGCCCUUCUAUGUGGAUCUUUAUUCUAUGC